CGCGGGGUGGAGCAGUUGGCAGCUCGUUGGGCUCAUAACCCAAAGGUCGGAGGUUCGAGUCCUCCCCCCGCUA
rnacentral:tRNA from 14 species